UACGUAGGGUGCGAGCGUUAAUCGGAAUUACUGGGCGUAAAGCGUGCGCAGGCGGUUGUGCAAGACAGAUGUGAAAUCCCCGGGCUUAACCUGGGAACUGCAUUUGUGACUGCACGGCUAGAGUGUGUCAGAGGGGGUAGAAUUCCACGUGUGAGCAGUGAAAUGCGUAGAUAUGUGGAGGAAUACCGAUGGCGAAGGCAGCCCCCUGGGAUAACACCGACGCUCAUGCACGAAAGCGUGGGGAGCAAACAGG
rnacentral:rRNA from 1 species